UUUCAAACAAAAGGUAUAGAAAGCAGAUAGAUUAUUCGUAGACUUUGCACUCCUUGUCAGCAGGGUUAGUCUUGCAGUAGUCCUCCAAGGCGUCUCCACUUCCUUCCACAGAUGAACCAGGCCAUUUGCUUGCUACCAGAUGAGCCAAGUCAACCACACGUUGGCUGCAAUUUUACCAAGUACGGUCACCGGUUAAUCAAGGAUAUAUAUGUGCGCGUGUAUGUGUGUGUUUAACAUUAGUUGCUAAUGCAAAAGAUUUUUCAGGCUGGUGGUAUAAGCACGGAAAAGUUUGUGCUAAGUUUACCUGUAUCCCCACUCGUUAUCAUACCAAGCGACAACCUUGACCAUGUCAUCUCCCAUAACCAUGGUCAAAGAGGAAUCAAUGGUGGAGGAAACAUCACUGCAUCGGAAAUCAACUGAUACGAGUGGAACAUCACAAACAGCCAAUAUGCCAUUCAGUGGACCGUCAGCUGCCUUUCUGAAAGCUGCAUUGACAUCUUCAGCUGAAAUUCCUUUCUUCUCAAUGUUGACAACGAGGUCAACAACCGAAACAUUAGGUGUUGGAACUCGGAGAGCAAUGCCAUUGAGCUUGCCCUUGAGCUGGGGUAGCACUAGAGAAACAGCCUUGGC
rnacentral:lncRNA from 1 species